CCUACGGGUGACAGCAGUAGGGAAUCUUCCACAAUGGGCGAAAGCCUGAUGGAGCAACGCCGCGUGGGUGAAGAAGGUCUUCGGAUCGUAAAACCCUGUUUUUAGAGAAGAAAGUUCGUGAGAGUAACUCUUCACGUUUGUACUUUAUCUAACCGGAACGCCUCGGCUAACUACGUGCCAGCCGCCGCGGUAAUACGUCGGUGGCGAGCGUUAUCCGGAUUUAUUGGGCGUAAAGGGAACGCGGACGGUCUUUUAAGUCUGAUGUGAAAGCGUUCGGCUUAACCGGAGUAGUGCAUUUGAAACUGGCAGCCUUGAGUACAGAUGAGGUGAGCGGAACUCGAUGUGUAGCGGUGAAAUGCGUAGAUAUAUGGAAGAACACCGGUGGCGAAGGCGGCUCACUAAUCUGUAACUGACGUUGAGGUUCGAAAGCGUGGGUAGCAAACAGGAUUAGAUACCCUGGUAGUC
rnacentral:rRNA from 1 species